rnacentral:rRNA from 1 species
CCACGGGUGGCAGCAGUGGGGAAUAUUGGACAAUGGGCGAAAGCCUGAUCCAGCCAUGCCGCGUGUGUGAAGAAGGCCUUCGGGUUGUAAAGCACUUUCAGUGGGGAAGAAAGCCUUGGGGCUAAUACCCUCGAGGAAGGACAUCACCCACAGAAGAAGCACCGGCUAACUCCGUGCCAGCAGCCGCGGUAAUACGGAGGGUGCGAGCGUUAAUCGGAAUUACUGGGCGUAAAGCGCGCGUAGGCGGUCUGAUAAGCCGGUUGUGAAAGCCCCGGGCUCAACCUGGGAACGGCAUCCGGAACUGUCAGGCUAGAGUGCAGGAGAGGAAGGUAGAAUUCCCGGUGUAGCGGUGAAAUGCGUAGAGAUCGGGAGGAAUACCAGUGGCGAAGGCGGCCUUCUGGACUGACACUGACGCUGAGGUGCGAAAGCGUGGGUAGCAAACAGGAUUAGAUACCCUGGUAGUC